AUGAAAAUGCCAGUUAAUUGCUCGAAUCUAUUUCUCUUUCCUCUUCUAAAUGCACAUCAAUUGGCUCUGAGCAGGAGCUCUUCUCUCCUGAGCAGAAGCACCUGUCUCGGAGGUCCAGACCUCGGCGCUUGUGGAGUGCGCUGCCCGCCAUCCCUGCGCGCCCUCCCGCCUCUCACCGGACGUGGCUGCCUCUGCAGAGGAGACGAUUUUAGCGCGGGUUUAACUGUCAGCAAAUAUGAAGAAUUGGUGCUUCUUGCCUUCCUUGGAAACGCGUCAUUCCAGGUGUCCAUCACGAUUCCAACACUUCCCUCACCCAAGCCGCUGAUUGCGGUCGGCCCCGUCUCCGGCUGAGACGGACGAGUGAACCCAAAGGAGUCACCUCUGUGGAUCUAUUUUAAGGAAGGCUCAAGAGGAUUCCAAGUCCAGGGAAAUCUAGGCGUUCCUUAAUCUGCUAAGCAAGUGCCUUCCAAGCAGCUGCGGAGCACACGGGUUUCCGCGCCGCCCGCCAGCGGCCCAGCUGUCGUCCAGGAGAGCGCCCGGACGCCCACGCCUUUUCCAGUCCCUUUGCUCUGACUCCCGAAGUGGAGCAUCGACUUGCCAGGAGAUUAAAAUGUGCUCUAUUCUGCCUCUGGCAGGAGUCCCU
rnacentral:lncRNA from 1 species